CGAGAAGCUAACUUCUGAUUCCUUCGGGAUGAUGAGGUUAGCAGAAAGUGGCGCACGGGUGAGUAACGCGUGGGUAAUCUACCCUGUUUAGUGGGGGAUAACCCUCCGAAAGGAGGGCUAAUACCGCAUAAUAUCUUUAUCCCAAAAGAGGUAAAGAUUAAAGAUGGCCUCUAUACUAUGCUAUCACUUCAGGAUGAGCCUGCGUCCUAUUAGUUAGUUGGUGGGGUAAUGGCCUACCAAGACCACAAUGGGUAGCCGGUCUGAGAGGAUGUACGGCCACACUGGGACUGAGAUACGGCCCAGACUC
rnacentral:rRNA from 1 species